rnacentral:pre_miRNA from 1 species
AGAAAAGUCAUAAUGUAGUUUUCUAUGUUUUUUUAUGCAAAAAUGCAUCAUGACUUUUCCA